rnacentral:rRNA from 1 species
CUUAGAGUUAGAUCCUGGUCUCUAGACUCAGACGUCUGACGGCAGGCUCAACACAUACACGUCGAGCUGUAGCACAGGGGAGCAUGCUGCUCGUGUGUUGAGCGGCGGACGGGUGAGUAAUGUCUGGGAAUCUGCCUGAUGGAGGGGGAUAACUACUGGAAACGGUAGCUAAUACCGCAUAACGUCGCAAGACCAAAGAGGGGGACCUUCGGGCCUCUUGCCAUCAGAUGAGCCCAGAUGGGAUUAGCUAGUAGGUGGGGUAAUGGCUCACCUAGGCGACGAUCCCUAGCUGGUCUGAGAGGAUGACCAGCCACACUGGAACUGAGACACGGUCCAGACUCCUACGGGAGGCAGCAGUGGGGAAUAUUGCACAAUGGGCGCAAGCCUGAUGCAGCCAUGCCGCGUGUGUGAAGAAGGCCUUCGGGUUGUAAAGCACUUUCAGUGAGGAGGAAGGUCAUGAACUUAAUACGUUCAUCAAUUGACGUUACUAGCAGAAGAAGCACCGGCUAACUCCGUGCCAGCAGCCGCGGUAAUACGGAGGGUGCAAGCGUUAAUCGGAAUUACUGGGCGUAAAGCGCACGCAGGCGGUUUGUCAAGUCAGAUGUGAAAUCCCCGGGCUCAACCUGGGAACUGCAUUCGAAACUGGCAAGCUAGAGUAUGGUAGAGGGGGGUAGAAUUUCAUGUGUAGCGGUGAAAUGCGUAGAGAUAUGGAGGAAUACCAGUGGCGAAGGCGGCCCCCUGGACGAAGACUGACGCUCAGGUGCGAAAGCGUGGGGAGCAAACAGGAUUAGAUACCCUGGUAGUCCACGCCGUAAACGAUGUCGAUUAGGAGGUGGUGAUCCUUGAGGUCGUGGACUGGCCGCAGCUAACGCGAUAAAGUCGACC